AUGAAUAGAAAAGGCCCAGGUACCCGUUUUUGUACGGGUUGAAAAGGGAAACCGGUGAAAAUCCGGUGCGGUCCCGCCACUGUGAAUGGGGAGCGCGUCUUCCAUGAAGCCACUGGAUUUGUCUGGGAAGGCGGAUGCGCGUGAAGAACCAAAGCCAGGAGACCUGCCUGUUGGCCUGUUACAUU
rnacentral:ncRNA from 2 species